rnacentral:lncRNA from 1 species
GCAGAGAAGACUUGGCUUAAGUUUAUACAAAUAAAAACUAAAUUCUCUUCAGAGUAUUUUCGAAAAGUUAUAUGGUCUCUAUGGAUAUGAAGGGCAAAGGUGGAAAAAUAUGUUUUAAGAACACUAAUCUAUUAGGCGUUGAAAAAGAUGUGCCUUCAUAAGAUCUUCUUCUAUUGUAUUCAAUGGACCAAAAGAACCCUCGGUUAAUGGAACAUUGUUU